rnacentral:rRNA from 1 species
AUUGAACGCUGGCGGCAGGCCUAACACAUGCAAGUCGAGCGGCAGCGGGAAAGUAGCUUGCUACUUUUGCCGGCGAGCGGCGGACGGGUGAGUAAUGCCUGGGAAAUUGCCCAUUCGAGGGGGAUAACAGUUGUAAACGACUGCUAAUACCGCAUACGCCCUACGGGGGUAAGCAGGGGACCUGCGGGCCCUGCGCGAUUGGAUAUGCCACGGGGGGAUUAGCUAGUUGGUGAGGUCAUGGCUCACCAAGGCGACGAUCCCUAGCUGGGCUGAGAGGAUGGUCAGCCACACUGGAACUGAGACACGGUCCAGACUCCUACGGGAGGCAGCAGUGGGGAAUAUUGCACAAUGGGGGAAACCCUGAUGCAGCCAUGCCGCGUGUGUGAAGAAGGCCUUCGGGUUGUAAAGCACUUUCAGCGAGGAGGAAAGGUUGAUGCCUAAUACGUAUCAACUGUGACGUUACUCGCAGAAGAAGCACCGGCUAACUCCGUGCCAGCAGCCGCCGCAGUAA